UACGGAGGAUGCGAGCGUUAUCCGGAUUUAUUGGGUUUAAAGGGUGCGUAGGCGGACAGUCAAGUCAGCGGUAAAAAUGCGGUGCUCAACGCCGUACAGCCGUUGAAACUGGCAGUCUUGAGUGGGCGAGAAGUAUGCGGAAUGCGUGGUGUAGCGGUGAAAUGCAUAGAUAUCACGCAGAACUCCGAUUGCGAAGGCAGCAUACCGGCGCCCGACUGACGCUGAGGCACGAAAGCGUGGGUAUCGAACAG
rnacentral:rRNA from 1 species